GUCGCCGUGAAGCGGCUAACUUAAAGUGCGGUUAAACGGGCCGUGAUGGGCCCGCGCGACGGACGGUCGCGAUCGCGGAAUCGGCAGCGCGCGGUGUAGCGGACGGUUCCGCGAUACGUGAGAGCGGUCGACGUUACAGACCUAAGUGGUCUCACCCCGCGGGGUGUUAUCACCUCGUGGGGAGCAGGUUUACGGAUUGAGCCGGAGGACGGCGUCGAGUAUUCCCGACGACGGUGUUGGUCUCGAGAAUCCCCAAGAACGGACGGUUCCUAUUGGCCGAGAAUACCCAGCCGCGGAAACGACGAGUAUUCCCGUCGCAGACGGAGGAUGGGAUCGGCCGAGCAUUCCUAGCCGUUAGGACCGACGAGUAUGCCCGUCGUGAGAUAGUAACAAGAAUGCCUGUUCCCGAGGAAGUGCUUGAGAAUACCCAAGCUAAGGAGCGCCGAGAAUACCCGGCGCAGGAAACAACCGGGCCAGGCAGGAUCGGGGAUAAAUGUAUGCGCGCGCAUGUAUAGCGAAUGGGACGUGAUCACGUGAUUAACCUAAAGAAGAGAACCAAGAAAACGACUGUGACUAUGUGACAACGAUAAGAAGGAUCAGAACGGUCAGAACGGCAAGUUGCAAUUACUGAAAGCUGGAAAGUGAUUAAAGUGAUCAGGCACAAAUUCUGUUUUGACAUACGCUACAUAAUUGGUUUAUGUUCUUGCCUAUUAUGUUAAGCGAGAAUUUAUUAAAACGUUUGGAAGAUCUUAUGUCAUCGCCUUCCUUUUGUUCGAGUCUGUGAGGUUAGGUUAGGUUACCAUACAAACUUGCUUAUUGGUAUGUAUCAAAAGUUACAUACGCUACUUGCAGAUAUAUUCAUUAAAUAUUACAUAUUUUUUUAUUUUUAACUGUUUUUAUUAGUUCUAGAUUAUGUACAAAUAUAAGCUAUAUAUCAGAUAUAGUAAAGUAUCCAUAUAAUAAGAUAUUCUUUUCAUCCUGUUUAUGUUCUUUCAGAGAAUUUUGCAGGAAAGAAUUAUCGGACCAAGAAUUUGCUAGGAAAUUUCCAAGGCUAAAUUGUAAUGUACAAUUUGUGUGUUACACAAAAUAAAAAAGUAGAAGUUUUACAGCCAAUGCAUACAUUGCAAAACCUGACUCAUUUGCUUCAUACCAAAAUUAGUAAUCUCAGAAGUUACAAGACUAAAUAGUAAUGUACUACAUUUGUGCCUUACGCAAAAUACAAAACAAGAAGUUUUGCACCCAAUGCAUACAUUGCAAAAUCUGAUGCAUUUGCUAAAUACUGGAAUUAGAGAUCUUGGAAGAAUUGGACCAAUGGAAGUCAAUUUGUCUGUAAGAGCACAACUUCACAAUCGGUUAGUUCCCGACUACUCAAGAUAUGAAAUGUAGUGAAGAAAAGUAUGUGAUAUAAUGUGAUGUGAUAUUAUAUGAUACGUGAUAUUAUGUGAUAUAUGAUUUUAUGUGAUAUACUCGUAGAAGGACUCGACGAUUAUAUUGUUGCUUAUUUGGAUACGUUAAUUUUUCUUAUUUGCAAGAAACUAACUUUGUAUUGCUUAUAUAAUUUAUGCAUACAUAUAUUCAUUAAAUAUACUUUUAUGCAGAUAUA